AACUCGACUCCAUGAAGCUGGAUUCGCUAGUAAUCGCGCAUCAGCCAUGGCGCGGUGAAUACGUUCCCGGGCCUUGUACACACCGCCCGUCACACCAUGAGGGUCGAUAACACCCGAAGCCUGUGAGCUAACCUUUCAGGAGGCAGCAGUCGAAGGUGGGGUUGAUGAUUGGGGUGAAGUCGUAACAAGGUAUC
rnacentral:rRNA from 1 species